rnacentral:rRNA from 1 species
UGGGGAAUUUUGGACAAUGGGCGAAAGCCUGAUCCAGCAAUGCCGCGUGUGUGAAGAAGGCCUUCGGGUUGUAAACCUCUUUUAGCAGGGAAGAAGCGAAAGUGACGGUACCUGCAGAAAAAGCACCGGCUAACUACGUGCCAGCAGCCGCGGUAAUACGUAGGGUGCAAGCGUUGUCCGGAAUUAUUGGGCGUAAAGAGCUCGUAGGCGGUCUGUCGCGUCUGCUGUGAAAUCCCGAGGCUCAACCUCGGGCCUGCAGUGGGUACGGGCAGACUAGAGUGCGGUAGGGGAGAAUGGAACUCCUGGUGUAGCGGUGGAAUGCGCAGAUAUCAGGAAGAACACCGAUGGCGAAGGCAGUUCUCUGGGCCGUAACUGACGCUGAGGAGCGAAAGCGUGGGGAGCGAACAGGAUUAGAUACCCUGGUAGUCCACGCCGUAAACGUUGGGCGCUAGAUGUGGGGACCAUUCCACGGUUUCCGUGUCGCAGCUAACGCAUUAAGCGCCCCGCCUGGGGAGUACGGCCGCAAGGCUAAAACU